UACGUAGGGUGCGAGCGUUAAUCGGAAUUACUGGGCGUAAAGCGUGCGCAGGCGGUUUUGUAAGCCAGAUGUGAAAUCCCCGGGCUUAACCUGGGAAUGGCAUUUGGGACUGCAAGGCUUGAGUGCGGAAGGGGCAACUGGAAUUCUUGGUGUAGCGGUGAAAUGCGUAGAUAUCAGGAGGAAUACCGAUGGCGAAGGCAGGUCUCUGGGCUGACACUGACGCUCAUGCACGAAAGCGUGGGGAGCAAACAGC
rnacentral:rRNA from 1 species